rnacentral:rRNA from 1 species
GACGAACGCGGCGGCGUGCCUAAUACAUGCAAGUAGAACGCUGAAGGAGGAGCUUGCUUCUCUGGAUGAGUUGCGAACGGGUGAGUAACGCGUAGGUAACCUGCCUGGUAGCGGGGGAUAACUAUUGGAAACGAUAGCUAAUACCGCAUAAGAGUAGAUGUUGCAUGACAUUUGCUUAAAAGGUGCAAUUGCAUCACUACCAGAUGGACCUGCGUUGUAUUAGCUAGUUGGUGAGGUAACGGCUCACCAAGGCAACGAUACAUAGCCGACCUGAGAGGGUGAUCGGCCACACUGGGACUGAGACACGGCCCAGACUCCUACGGGAGGCAGCAGUAGGGAAUCUUCGGCAAUGGACGGAAGUCUGACCGAGCAACGCCGCGUGAGUGAAGAAGGUUUUCGGAUCGUAAAGCUCUGUUGUAAGAGAAGAAACGAGUGUGAGAGUGGAAAGUU